rnacentral:tRNA from 1 species
GUGGUCGUAGCUCAAAAGUAGAGCGCCUGCCUGUGGAGCAGGAAGUAGCGGGAGCGUUACCCGUCGACCACC